rnacentral:rRNA from 1 species
CGCUGGCGGCGUGCUUACACAUGCAAGUCGAGCGGANUACCCAACGGNAAGUUUUCGGACGGAAGAUGGAAUUACUUAGCGGCGGACGGGUGAGUAACGCGUGGGCAACCUGCCCUGUACAGAGGAAUAACAUUGGGAAACCAGUGCUAAUACCUCAUAUACCCUUCGGGUGGCAUCACCUGAAGGGGAAAGAUUUAUCGGUACAGGAUGGGCCCGCGUCUGAUUAGUUAGUUGGUGAGGUAACGGCUCACCAAGACGAUGAUCAGUAGCCGACCUGAGAGGGUGAUCGGCCACACUGGAACUGAGACACGGUCCAGACUCCUACGGGAGGCAGCAGUGGGGAAUAUUGCACAAUGGGGGAAACCCUGAUGCAGCAACGCCGCGUGAGCGAUGAAGGCCUUCGGGUCGUAAAGCUCUGUCCUAAGGGAAGAUUUAGACGGUACCUUAGGAGGAAGCCCCGGCUAACUACGUGCCAGCAGCCGCGGUAAUACGUAGGGGGCAAGCGUUAUCCGGAAUUACUGGGCGUAAAGGGUGCGUAGGCGGUCUAAUAAGUCAGAGGUGAAAGACUAUUGCUCAACGAUAGCAAGCCUUUGAAACUAUUGGACUUGAGUGCAGGAGAGGAGAGUGGAAUUUCUAGUGUAGCGGUGAAAUGCGUAGAUAUUAGAAGGAACACCCAGUGGCGAAGGCGACUCUCUGGACUGCAACUGACGCUGAGGCACGAAAGCGUGGGGAGCAAACAGGAUUAGAUACCCUGGUAGUCCACGCCGU